AAUUGAAACCAAAAAGAGGUUUAUCACUGUUAAUGAUAAAAUUGAUUAAAAUCCAAUUAAA
rnacentral:tRNA from 1 species